rnacentral:siRNA from 1 species
CGGAGCAGCGGAAAGAGUCA